GACGGGGGAUGCGAGCGUUAUCCGGAAUGAUUGGGCGUAAAGGGUCCGCAGGUGGCCCGGUCAGUCCGCUGUCAAAGCCUGGGGCUCAACCCUGGAGGGGCGGCGGAGACCACCGGGCUUGAGUCCGGUAGGGGCAGAGGGAAUUCCCGGUGGAGCGGUGAAAUACGUAGAGAUCGGGAAGAACGCCAAGGGCGAAGGCACUCUGCUAGGCCUGAUUUCGCGACUGACACUCAGGGACGAGAGCCAGGGGAGCGAAUGGG
rnacentral:rRNA from 1 species